GGACAAUGAGCAAAGCCAACACACAAGAGGUGCUCCUACAAAAGUUUAGAAAUCCUGACGAAGGCCAGAGAGAGCCAUACUGGUGGUGUAGACAUGUAGGAGGAAGAGCAGCAGGCAAGCAAGACACGAAUGAUGACAGCAAAUACUAUGCAGUUCCAGAGAACCUUCUUUCUUUUGAUGCAAUAGUUUAAACUUCUGGGGAAGUAG
rnacentral:lncRNA from 1 species